AGUGAACGCUGGCGGUAGGCCUAACACAUGCAAGUCGAACGGCCGCACAGUAAGAUCUUGCUCUUACUGUUGGCGAGUGGCGGGCGGGUGAGGCAUACAUCGGCAUCUACUUUUUCUUGGGGGAUAACGUAGGGAAACUUACGCUAAUACCUCAUACGUCCUACGGGUGAAAUCAGAAGAUCUUCGCACCUUUCCCGUUUGUAUGAGCCGAUGUCGGAUUAGCUAGUUGGCGUGGUAAAGGCCCACCAAGGCGACGAUGCGUAGCUGAUCUGAGAGGAUGAUCAGCCACACUGGAACUGAGACACGGUCCAGACUCCUACGGGAGGCAGCAGUAGGGAAUAUUGCGCAAUGGGCGAAAGCCUGACGCAGCCACACCGCGUGAGUGAAGAAGGCCUUCGGGUUGUAAAGCUCUGUUAUUGGGAAAGAACAGCAGCGGAAGAAUAUGUCCAUGUUCUGACGGUACCUAAAGAGAAAGCACCGGCUAACUACGUG
rnacentral:rRNA from 1 species